CACCUCUCAAGCAUAGCUUGGUGUUGGGCAACGCGGUCCGCCGCGUGCCUCAAAUCGACCGGCUGGGUCUUCUGUCCCCUAAGCGUUGUGGAAACUAUUCGCUAAAGGGUGUUCGGGAGGCUACGCCGUAAAACAACCCCAUUUCUAA
rnacentral:misc_RNA from 1 species